GUCCACACAGUAACGAUGAAUACUCGCUGUUUGCGAUAUACGGCAAGCGGCCAAGCGAAGCAUUAAGUAUUCCACCUGGGAGUACGCCGGCAACGGUGAACUCAAAGGAAUUGACGGGGCCCGCACAAGCGGAGGAACAUGUGGUUUAAUUCGAUGAUACGCGAGGAACCUUACCCGGGCUUAAAUUGCAAAUGAAUAUAGUGGAAACAUUAUAGCCGCAAGGCAUUUGUGAAGGUGCUGCAUGGUUGUCGU
rnacentral:rRNA from 1 species